rnacentral:tRNA from 1 species
UGUAAAAAAGUUUAAAAAAGAACAUUAAUUUUUGAUAUUAAAAGUGGUAAUUGAAUUUACCUUUUACAA